rnacentral:rRNA from 1 species
GAUGAACGCUGGCGGCGUGCCUAAUACAUGCAAGUCGAGCGAACAGACGAGGAGCUUGCUCCUCUGACGUUAGCGGCGGACGGGUGAGUAACACGUGGAUAACCUACCUAUAAUACUGGGAUAACUUCGGGAAACCGGAGCUAAUACCGGAUAAUAUAUUGAACCGCAUGGUUCAAUAGUGAAAGACGGUUUUGCUGUCACUUAUAGAUGGAUCCGCGCCGGAUUAGCUAGUUGGUAAGGUAACGGCUUACCAAGGCAACGAUGCGUAGCCGACCUGAGAGGGUGAUCGGCCACACUGGAACUGAGACACGGUCCAGACUCCUACGGGAGGCAGCAGUAGGGAAUCUUCCGCAAUGGGCGAAAGCCUGACGGAGCAACGCCGCGUGAGUGAUGAAGGUCUUCGGAUCGUAAAACUCUGUUAUUAGGGAAGAACAAAUGUGUAAGUAACUAUGCACGUCUUGACGGUACCUAAUCAGAAAGCAACGGCUAACUACGUG